rnacentral:lncRNA from 1 species
ACCGCCCGCCCAGGCAACCUGGAACCAGGGUCGUGCCCUACGGCAGAAUGUGGGGGGCCUUGGGUCUGGCGCUGCGUGCUCACCCCCUCUCAGAGUGGGAGUCCUGGCUCCUGACUGCCCUGACCUUCUUCCUACCACUGGGCCCAUGAUGGGGGUCCCCAACUUUCAAGAACACAGGGGAUGCGCCUUCUCAGGAAACACGUCCCCUCGCCAGGCCCCUGGGAACAGUCACAACCACGACGCCUGUCCCCGAAGCGCCCGCGCAGCUCCACGGGAUUCCAUGUUGUCACCCACUGGAUCCUGGACGCCAUCAGCCCGCAGCAGGGUUUCCAGACCACAGAAACCGCCUGUUGGGGUGCGGGGCGUUACACGUCCCCUCGCAGCGCCCCGCUGGCUUCUGGGCCGCCCCGCCCCCACUCCCGCGCCCGGACGCUGACGUCACUGGCCGAGCCAGACUCGGAGCCGCCGCCCGAGAGUCACGCGCGCCUCCCGGCGGGACGCGCCCUCUGCAGAGAUCCCUCCGCCGCCGCCUGGAAUUUUCCAGACGUCCUGCCGGCCCUUCUUUCGGGCCUCGUCGGGGCGUGGUGACCUGAGGCGACCCCGGCGGCUCCCGUUGCCCACUUAGGAGGGCGCCCCCGCCCGCCUCUUCCUGAGCCCCUCUCUCUGGGAAGCGCGCCCCGCCCGACCCAACACCCAGGAAGAAAGUCUUCUUCGUCAUGGCAUCCGCCUUCCAAAUGUCACCUUGAGCGCUGUUCGCGAUCCCAAAAAGCACUGCUAAGGAGAAGCGGGGAUAAACUGGGGUCCUUGCGUCGGGGGCGCCUGGGAGACCAUGCACCGCCCGGGUCGUCUCCCCGGGCCGGGGAGGGACUUUUUUUCCGGUGGCCGUGGAGGAAUCGUCCCGUUGAACAGUGACCCCGGUGACGCGGCCGAGGGCUAUAAAAGCAAAAGUUGUGGCCGGUCCAGCAGAAGUUAGCGAUAGGGAGGGAUGCGCACUUGGGUGUAGUUGUGGGGGAGGAAGUGACCAGUUCAGGGUCUCGGGACAGACCGGGAGAGAUGGUUGAGUUAGAUGAGACUGGGGGCCCUGGGAGUACGAGAAGGAAGCUUGACAAGGAGACUAGGUCUGAAGAAACCACAGUGGGGCAGGCUGCGUGGUGGAAAAUGCCCGCAGGAGCCCCCAGAGAGGACAGCCAUGCUCCAGGCCAGGCUGUCCCUACUGUCUGCUGGAGAGGGAACUUGACCUCUGGGAGGGAGCCGCUCUUACAUGGCUGAGCGAGCCCCCGUGCGCUGGUCUGUGUGGAAGGAGGAAGGCAGGGAGAGGUAGAAGGGGUGGAGGAGCCAGGAGGAAUGAAUGGGCUGCUGCGGCCCUGGAAACGAUCAGGAAGGCAGGCAGUGGGUGCAGGGCUGCAGAAGGGCCGGGAGGGCCGAGCUUCAACUUGUCCAUGCCAGCGGCCCCUUUUUUUCCAGACCAAGGGCUGUGAACCCGCCUGGGGAUGAGGCCUGGUCUUGUGGAACUGAACUUAGCUCGGCGGGGCUGACCGCUCUGGCCCAGGGUGGUAUGUAAUUUUCGCUCGGCCUGGGACAGGGCCCAGGCCGGGCCCAGCCUGGUGGAGCGUCCAGGUCUGGGUGCGAAGCCAGGCCCCUGGGCGGAGGUGAGGGGUGGUCUGAGGCGUGAUGUGGAGUUAAGGCGCCAUCCUCACUGGUGACUGGUGCAGCACCUAGCAUGUUUGACAGGCGGGGACUGCGAGGCACGCUGCUCGGGUGUUGGGACAACAUUGACCAACGCUUUAUUUUCCAGGUGGCAGUGCUCCUUUUGGACUUUUCUCUAGGUUUGGCGCUAAACUCUUCUGUGAGCUCACUCCACCCCUCCUCCUCCCUUUAACUUACCCAUUCACUUAAAACAUUACCUGGUUGUCUGGUAAGCCCGGGACAGUAGCCGAGUGGCUUUUGGAGUCGGUAUUGUUGGUAAUGGUGGAGAAAGAGAGGCCUUCCCGCUGAGGCUGGGGUGGGGCGGAUCGGUGUUGCUUGCCUGCAGAGAGGGUGGGGAGUGAAUGUGCACCCCUGGGUGGGCCUGCAGCCAUCCAGCUGAAAGUCAUAAAAAUGCCUUAUAGACCGUGGUUUGUUACUAUAGUGUUCCUCAUGGCGAGCAGAUGGAACCGGGAGACAUGGAGCCCCUGGCCAGUGUGAGUCCUAGCAGUGCAGGAGGGGAGACCAUGGAGGAGAGAGCCCGCCUCAAUUGAUGCCUGCAGAUUGAAUUUCCAGAGGCUUAGGAGGAGGAAGUUCUCCAAUGUCGUGUUUCCAGGCCUUGCUGGGGAAGCCCUGUAUUCAGGAGGCAACCAUUUAAAGUUUUCAGAUGAGCUUAUGGGGGGCAAUCUUAAAAUAUCCACAGCAGAUGCAUCCGGCUCGAGGUGCCAUCAGCUUUGAAUAAAUGCUUGUUCCAGAGCCCAUGAAUGCCAGCAGGCACCCCUCCUUUCCUGGGGUAAAGGUUUUCAGAUGCUGCGUCUUCUAAAUUGAGCCUCCGGUCAUACUAGUUCUGUGCUUGGAACCUUGCUUCAAGAAGAUCCCUAAGCUGUAGAACAUUUUAACGUUGAUGCCACAACGCAGAUUGAUGCCUUAUAGAUGGAGCUUGCAGAUGGAGCCCCGUGACCUCUCACCUACCCCCCCUGUUUGCCUGCCUGCCUAUGCGUUGCUCGGAGAAGUUCUUAGCCUGAUGAAAUAACUUGGGGUGUUGGAAAGCUGUUUAAUUUUAAAUGCCUUAGACGGGGGAUGUAUUAGAGGAAGCAGAUUGUCAAGAGUGUCAUUGUGUUAUGCUAAACUCUGGGAGGGUACAAAUUGGUCAUUCCCAAAUCUGUGUGUGAAAAAUGGCAGGUCUAGUUUGGGCAUUGUGAUUGCAUUGCAGAUUACUAAGAGAAGGUAAUGGUGGGUAUACCGGUAGUGCUCUUUUGUUCUUGCUUCGUUUUUUUGCACCUGAACUUCGUUAGAUUUCAUAAUGCUUUUUUGGCAUUUUAAUAAGAGGACCCUGAGGUGGGAGUUGUGGGAGACCGGGAGAAGGGGACAGCUUGGCACUGGUCACGUGGGAUUUGCAGUGUGGGGGAUGGGGGUGUGCAGCUUGGCACUGGUACUGGGAGGGAUGAAGGUGAGGAAGGGGAGAGGGUUGGUUAGGUAUAUAGUGUGGGUGGUAGGAAAUGCAGGUUGAAGGGAAAUUCUCUGGGGCUUUGGGGAGUUUUGUGCGGUGGGUGAGCCAAGAAAAUACUAAUUAAUAAUAGUAAGUGUUGGUUAAGUUGUUGCUUGGAAGUGAAAAGUUGCUUAGAAAGGUUAGAACUU